AUUUAAAUAGCUUAUCUAUUAGAGUAUAAUAUUGAAGAUAUAUAUAUAUAUAUAUA
rnacentral:tRNA from 1 species